UGGGGCACCCGAGCUUUCAACUCCCAACCCCUGUGACAUACCACUUGUUGCCUCGGCGGAUCAGCCCGCUCCCGGUAAAACGGGACGGCCCGCCAGAGGACCCCUAAACUCUGUUUCUAUAUGUAACUUCUGAGUAAAACCAUAAAUAAAUCAAAACUUUCAACAACGGAUCUCUUGGUUCUGGCAUCGAUGAAGAACGCAGCAAAAUGCGAUAAGUAAUGUGAAUUGCAGAAUUCAGUGAAUCAUCGAAUCUUUGAACGCACAUUGCGCCCGCCAGUAUUCUGGCGGGCAUGCCUGUUCGAGCGUCAUUUCAACCCUCAAGCACAGCUUGGUGUUGGGACUCGCGUUAAUUCGCGUUCCUCAAAUUGAUUGGCGGUCACGUCGAGCUUCCAUAGCGUAGUAGUAAAACCCUCGUUACUGGUAAUCGUCGCGGCCACGCCGUUAAACCCCAACUUCUGAAUGUUGACCUCGGAUCAGGUAGGAAUACCCGCUGAACUUAAGCAUAUCAAUAAGCGGAGGAA
rnacentral:rRNA from 1 species